rnacentral:tRNA from 1 species
CUUAAUAUGGCAGAUUAGUGCAUUAGAUUUAAGAUCUAAAUAUAGAGUUUAAGA